rnacentral:lncRNA from 1 species
AAUCAAUCUUCCUUUUUUAUUGAGUAAGAAAGCUUACCUUCUCUCCUCGCAUGAAGGCUCUUUUAUAGUGUCAGAAGCUCUGUCCCCUUUAAUGGUGGGAAGAAUUUUUGGCUUGCAAUGAUUGCGCUAAGGCAGUGGCAGAGCCAUCAUUGCCCUACAAGCAGCUUCAGAAAUCAUGGGGGAGAAUGACUUGCCGUCAUUCCUGUCAUUUCGCUCUGCAGGCGACGGAAUGUGGGCUGUGACAGGUUGUUUGAAGUGACUCAGUAUGGUCCCGUCGAAAGUGCUUCUGGUUGUGUAGACCAGGGAGGCCCGUAUUUCACGGCCAAGGCUUUUGGUUAAGUUGCUAGCGUUGGGUCCGGACAACAUAUCCGGACAAGAGAGGGGAUCGUCCGGAUAAUGGGUUUGAGAGUGUCGUAUGCCCCCCUGAGGGAAUCCGGAUAGAGAGUUGGUGUGCCACGUGUCCCCUGGCGGGGUGCCAUGCGGGGUUGCCACGUGGGUGUUUAGGGGUGGUCCCUACAAACUAUACCCUCUUGCAAACCAUAAAGAUUUUCUUCCCUUGGUCAGUUUUAUGUUUCAGUUUGCAAGAACAACUGCAAACUUAAAGUUCAUGAUAAAGUGAGUGAUUUCCAGAGCAAACAUAUUGACAAUAAGCUGCACUUAAGGAAUUUCUGAGCUUUGGAGGCAGCUGUGUUGGUUCCAUUUAACAAAAAAUUUUGGAUCAAUUGGCGUCAAGAUUCUCGAAAGCAAUCAAUAGGUCGAUGGCAAUGAGCAAUUUGUCGAAGUCUGAAUAAGAGUGCGUAGCUACCAGCAAGGAAGAGCUCCUUGACUAUCUAGUAUUGUCGUCUCCUAUGGUUGAUUGAUUAUGUUCAAAUUGGAAACCAAGUGAAAGGUCCUUCAGUUGUCCAUCUUGAUAUUCUUUAUGCCAAAAUCUCGACCAACAAUGUCCACUUAGGUCAGCAUGAUAACGAGAGAGGCAAAUGCGGACGACAACAUAUCCAAACCUGGCCUCAUUUUUGAGCUCAUGGGGAUUAAAGUUGGAGGUGCCCAUAAGUACAAGUCUGAUGCAACAUUUGAAUUGAAGCUAGCCAGGAAACAAAGAUAGGUUGGCGAAGAUCUUCUGAACACAAGGUUUGUGGAGAAGAUAGAUGACUAUGAUGUUGUUAUUAGAGAAAAAUAGCGUCAGGUCAACCUACCACAACAAUACAGUCCCAAUUGCACCCUGGACCCCACAUGCAUGAAUUCCCCGCUUGCAUGGCCACCCCCCUAAGUGUGCUUCUUUUUAAAUCCACAUCUCUUUCAUAUCAACAGCGUAGACACCUAUGCACCUCAAAAGUUGCAUUGAUUGUAGGAUAUAUCCACGGAAACAUGACCCUUUCAACUAGACCCUACUAUCUAUUCUCAAUAUGGAGCUGUCGCAUCUGAAAGAUGGUCUUGGCUGCAAUUGCCUGAUAUGUCACUAGAGACAUGGGAUGAUGACUAGGUCUUUGUACUGGUCUUCAAAUGAUCUCAUCCUUGGCUUGCUCUGUAUGCUGAGUCAACCUUUGGAAGUAACUAGAAAUCACAUCUUCAAUUUCCCACUCCAGUAUCUUGCCAGGUUCUCUUGAGGUGGUAGUAGGCACUGUGUGAUAAGUAUAAGGCAUGUUGCUGGAUUGCAUGUAAGUGUAACCAUAAAAAUUAAUAAAAGGCUCUGAGUCACCAAGCAUCUCAGCCUUCACAACAGUUGGUUGUCUGUGAGAUAGAAUCAUUACCAUUUACAGAAGCUUUCUUAAAAGGAGUGAGGGAGGAUCUAUUUCUUCAAAGAAAGACCCAACAUGAAUUACUUUCUUCACAUCAAAUCUUACUAUCUUCAACAAUGUGUUGGCCAAUGAUAACGUGAUCUCUUGAAAGCAUGGGAAUAUAUUAGCUCGACUUUAACCCAUUUAACUAUGCUUACAGAUAACUCUAGGAGUUGUGACUCUAUACGGGCCAUUGAAUCCUAUGGGGUUAGAGAAUCCAAAUCUGAUGCCAAUGGAACGCUACCUCCAAUUUCUCCAAUUCACUACAAUACCUUGGAAUCAACUAUCCAAUAUUUGAGUGAGAUUGUCGCACACUUCAUCCCUCAUAUCAACACUUUCGUCAUUCCCCAAUACAUGCUCGAACACAUAGACAAGGACUCCAACACCGUGCGAAAGAAUGAGCAAAAAGCAUAGAUGAAAACAUUAAAAAAUUCCAGGAAAAGGAUGAGCAGAAGAUGAACAUAAAUAGCCUCAUUUCAAGGGCAGAUCCAUGGGUUAAAAUGAGGGAAUGAUUCAAAAGAGAUUUUUAACAUAAAUAGGGCGGGAUUUCUAUCAUCAGAUUCAAAGACAAACCCAAAUGCAUAUUGUUCUCAGAUGAAGUCAAUGACAUUGAAAAUAAACGAAAGUCCAAGAAAAAAAAUCAGAGCAAAUAAAAAAAAAAAAACCAACCAAUCGUGGCCCUUAGCGUCCACACCAAACAGCAAAGAUUGAAUGUUCAAAAAUGGCUAGAGAACAAUGGAGGAUCAAAUAUAAAUGGGAAUAAAAAAAAUAAAAAAAAUAAAAACAAGAAACGUACCCAACAACUUUGACUCAACCCACUUGACUUCCAGCUAUGGUUCUUUUUCGAAAUCCUUAAAAAAAAAAAACCUAUGGGCAUGAGUUUUUUUUUUUUUUUUCUCACCUAAAGCAAUGAAAAAUUCUUCAUUUAUUCCCCUAUUCUCAAUGCGUGCUGCCAGUCCCCCCCUUUGAAAACCUCCCUAUUUUUCUCUAUCUCUUCUAUAUCUCUUUGUUUUUCUCUCCUGAUAUAUUUCAUUGCUAUCUCUCUUGCUAUAUCUCCUUGCUAUCUCUCUUAACCUCCUCAAAAACCCAUCUACUCAUGCUUUUUGUAGCCAUUGGUAGUGCUGCUACGUGAGGAGUCUUACUCUCUCCAAAUUCUAUCACAUCCACUAGAAAAGUCUUUUUUUUUUUAAUUUAAAAAAAAUGAAUCCAUGCAUAUCACUUAAAAGUCCUACAUUUGCCAAAAACUUCUCCAAUGGUAGAUUUUCUUAUAAAACUUCAAAUUAUUAAAUCAAAAAAAUAAAAAAGAAUAAAUAAAAGAUAAAAAUAAUAAUAAUAGAUAAAUAACAAGAUAAUGAACAAAUAAAUAAAAAAGAAAAAAGAAAAAAUAACUAAAUAAAUAAAAGUGAUUGAUAACAAUGAAAAUAAAUUAAAAUAAAUAAAUAUAAUAAAUUAUUAAAUAAAAGUGAUUGAUAAUAAUAAUAAAAAUAAAAAUAAAAAAAUAAGUAAAUGAGAUAAAUGGGUCAUGCAAACGUACAAGUCACGUUAAAAAUGUCUAAUGGGCUAAGUGGGCCUAAGGUGUCUAAAUGACCCUAAGUGAACCUAGACAGCCCUAAGGUGUCUAAAUGGGCCUAAGGUAUACUUAUACGGGCCAAGGGUGAGACUAGGUGGACCUAACUAAGUCUAACCUAAAGUGUACCUAAAUGAAGCCUAGUCUAAACUUGAAAGGCAAUUAAGGUCAUAAUGUGGAGCUGGAUAAACCCCUCAACCAAAGUCUCCAAAGUGGUUCAGAAAAUAUAUGUAGUGUGAGUAGCAAUGGGCCACCAAUGAAUUACUGUGGAACACUGGAAGUGAACUCAAAGACAUGUGCUAAAGGGACAAAAUGGAGGGGUUACUCAUACUACUUAUAGGGUGUAUCAAAGGCCUUCUCAUAGCCUAAGUAGCUGACUUGAGAAUGAACUUACCAUCUUGAGAGAAUUCCCAAAUAAUCCUAUCACAUAAGGGAGAGGAAGGAUUUAGGAUAGCUUUAAUGUCUAUUAGAACAUUUUGGGGGAGGAUUGAGGAAAUGGACUGUAAAUUCCACUAUUAGGAAUCCUGAUUUAUAAAGUUUUACACUUUGGCAUCCCAAUUGAUGCAAUGUAAGUGGUUUUCAUCCACAAAAGAAAUAAGUGACGACAUGUAAACCCAGUAAUUUAUCCAAAAGUAGACUUUCCUCUCAUCUCCUAUGCACCAUAUUAGCCCAACUCCAAUAUAUUUUCUAUGGUUAAUUACUUCCUUCCAAACAAUGGAAUCUUUUUUUUUUUUGGGAUCCUAAAGAAAUUGUUGUUUUUAAUAUAUUUUUCUCUCAUGAUCCUAGCCCAAAUGCUAUUAGUAUUCGUAAGGAUUCUCCACCCUAGCUUAGUAAUUGUAGUUUUAUUAACAUCUUCAUUAUUCCUAAUUUCUAACCCUCCUUUAGAUUUAGGUCUACAAACCCCAUCCCAGGCUACCAAAGGAAAACAUUUAGACUCGUUAGACCCUACAUUUGGUAACCAUAAGAAGUUUUUGUUGAUUCUAUCUAAAUCUUCAUUAUUUCUCUUUGUAAGUUUGAAACAAUUCAUAACAUGAAGAGGUGAGCUAGCCAAAUUAGCCUUUAUUAGGACUAUUUUACAAGCUCUUGAAAGGAAUCGAGCUUUCUAAGAUGCAAUCUUUUUUUGAGAUUUGAGAAUUACUUUAUAAAAAGUGUCUCUUUUAACUCUACCUUGAAUUAUUGGACAACCAAGAUACUUGCUAAUGUCAUUAGAAAUAGGAAUGCUUAGAGCUUUCUCAAGUCUCUUCCUCAUAACCCUUUGAAUAUUACUAGAAAUCUAGACUGAGGAUUUAUGAAAAUUCACAAGUUGCCCUAACAUGGCACAAAAACCAUUCAAAAUUCUAUUAAUAUUAGAACAAUCAUUUUGAGAAGCUUUAGUAAAGAUGAUAUAUUCAUAUGCAAAUGUAAGGGAGGGAAUUUUAGGUCCAUUUCGAUGAGUUGAGAUUCUUAGAUGAUUUAUAGGGUUUUCCGUUUCUUUUACUAACUCUCUCCCCAAAUAUUUUGUACACAUAAUGAAAAUAUAAGUAGAUAAAGGGUCUCCCUAUCUAAUACCUCUUGAAGGUUGAAUUUUUCCUUCCGGAAUACCAUUAAUCAAGAUUGAGUAAGACACUAUGGAAAUGCUUUCCAUAACCCAUUCAAUCCAUUUCGGGUGAAAGCCUAUUUUGGAAAGAAUUACCCUAAUAAAAUCUCAUUCAAGCCUAAUAUAAGCUUUUUCCAUAUCAAGUUUAAUCGUCAUAUAUCUUGAUUUGUCUUUUUUCUUUUUAAACAAAUGCAUGAUUUCAUGGGCUAAAAAAACAUUAUCAAUAACAAGUCUUCUUGGGCAAAUGCACCUUACAAAGGAGAUAAAAUUUUGUUUAGGAGAGGUUUUAUCCUAUUACCCAAAAUUUUAGCUAUUAUUUUAUAACAGACAUUGCAUAAGCUAAUAGGUCUAAAAUGAUUUAAAGACUCCAAGUUAUUAGAUUUAGGAAUCAAUGUGAUAAAAAUCUUAUUAUCUCUUUGAGCAUAUGUCCAUUGAAAAAGAAAGCUUUGACCAUUUUAGAAACAUAUUUUCCAAUAUUUUUAUAAAAACUAGCUUGGAGACCAUCAGCCCCAAACACUUUCAUACUAUUGAUUUGUGAAGGAGUUGCACAAAUUUCUUUUUUUGUGGCUUCUUUAAUUAACUCUUUUUCUUCUUCUGAGAUGCGAGGACUAAAAGUAUCAAAUGGGUCAUAAUUUAUCAUUGGAUUUUUAGAAGUGAAUCUUUUAGAGAAAUCAUUAAUGAACACUUUUGAAAUUCCCUUUUGAUCAUUAUACCGUAUUCCUUCAAAAUCUCUAAUUAGCAUAUAUUUAUAGGUACUGUAUGGUACCCAUAUUAAAGAUGUAAUUGAGACCAUUAAAAAUACAUGGUGAAAUCUAAGUCAUUGGUAUAGAAUAACUGGAAGUAAAAUUGAAUCGUAACAAGAUUUUGAUUGAUCCAUUUUUUAAUAAUAUAUAUGAGCAAAAUUAUAAAACGAGUUUGGAGGGGAAGAUUUAAGUGCCAGCUAUCCAUGACGUAUGCUACCUAAACGUUUACAAGAGCCUACUGUUGAGUAUAAGCGUCUGAGUCCCAUGAGUCCAAAGGAACGGCGCCCAGAAAAUUCAGACAAGGAAUAUAUGCAUAUAUUUUUUAAAAAAAGUGAACAGCAAUAAUGGAAAGCUUAGAGUGUCGGCAAGCCAACGUUAGGUUGAGGCAUAUUAGACUUAGGAGUGUUGAGAUGUCGUGGGGGUGGGGACGGAGUGGUUGAAAUGUAAACAAAACCGCGUGCCUUAUUGGUACACCGACAUCUGGUAGAUUCUAUGUAGUAAUAUCUCCUUCCAUUUGUUCACGGAUCGCCAUCGCCAUCUCCACCUCUAAAUAAAUAAAUAAAUAAAUAAAUAAAUACUAUGUUGUUGUUACUUAUCAUUCGUCAACACCCAACAUUUUCUUACCAAUUCUUUAAAAUAUUAAAUAUUUAAUAAAUUUUUAAAACUGAAAAAAAAUUAUCCUCAAAUAAUUCAUUGUUGUUUUUUUUCUUUCAAAAAUUACUUUUUUUGGAUACUAUCAAACAAAAAGAUUCUUACACAAAUGACAAAAAUUUAUCAUUUACAUUUAAAAAUUUAAUUUAUAAAUUGUAAAAGCAUUUUCAAAUACACAAUAUAUGCAACCAUUUUUUAUAUUUUAAAAAAAAUGGUAAAAAAAUACGAAUCCUCCCAUAAAAGUGGUUCAAAUAAUAAAGUUGUUACUAACAAAAUGCUUCAAAUAAAAAUAUUUGGAUUGGAAAAAAAAUACAUAUAGAGGGAUAGAAAUUGAGCACUUAAGAAAAAGGAAGAAUGGAAUUACUUAUGGAUUAUUUAUUUAUUUAUUUAUUCAUGUAAUAUAAACGUAAAAGAAGAUUUAUGCCAAUAUAGGGUGUUGGAUUCUCGCCACGGAAAGGAAAAAAAGUUGCAGUGUCAAGCAAGCAAGGUGGUCAAUAAAGAGGAAAAGAGAUAGAUAAUGUAUGUGUUAGUGUUAGACAGACUGUCUUUGUCGAUUAGCGGACUCGUCGGUGUCAGCAACCUAAUUUUAAUAAAUGGACAAACUAAAAUAAUAAUAAUAAUAAUAAUUGAAAAGCAUCCUGCAGUCAGUUCAAAGCCACCCCACCCACAGCCACAGGAUCAUCAUAUUAUUAGGCAGUACAUUAUGAGCACUUGCUGCUGUGCUGCUACCACCACCACCACCACCACCACCGUUGAGGCCCAGCUCGAUAAUAUUACCACUCCACUCUAGAAUUUUAACCCCAUUUCCCUCUGCAGAGGACUGGGUUCAAAUCUUCUGGCAUUGCUGAUUGUUUUUUGUUCUGGGGUUUAUACAUAGGCAGAAGGCGGAGUGAGGGGGAAGAAUCUCUUUCCUUUUUCAUAUAACAAUCUGGGUUUUGCUGCUUCUGUGCGUCCGUGGUGGUGGCGGUGUUGAAGAGGGUGAAGAAGGUGAAAUCUGUGUUCCAAUUUUGAAAUUGGGCUGGUGAAUCGGUUCAAGGAGGGAAUCUGAGUAGAUAAGCAUGUACGGGAGGGAUCCAUGGGGAGGUCCGCUGGAAAUAAACGCAGCGGAUUCGGCCACAGACGACGACCGGAGCAGGAACCUUCAGGACUUCGACAGAGCGGCACUUUCACGGCCACUGGACGAGACACAGCAGAGCUGGCUGUUGGGACCUGGAGAGCAGAAGAAGAAAAAGUAUGUGGAUCUGGGUUGCAUCAUUGUCAGCCGUAAGAUCUUCGUCUGGACGGUCGGAUCUAUUCUGGUGGCUGGCUUCCUCGCCGGUUUCAUUACCCUCAUCGUCAAGACCGUGCCGCGUCAUCACCACCCUCACGCUCCUCCUGAUAACUACACCCUCGCCCUCCACAAGGCCCUUAUGUUCUUCAACGCCCAGCGUUGUAUGUCUCUUCUCUCUCUCUCUCUCUCUCUCUCUCUUUUUUCUUUUUUCUUUUUACAUUUUCCAUUAUUUGAUUUCCAGAUCUACAAUCACUGCUUUCCAGAUCUGAUCCACAUUCUUUCACAAUAAUUCUUUUCUCUUAUUUUCAGCGUUGAUGGCAAACAUAUCAGCCAGUGAACCCAGUGAUACAUCUAGGAUCUUUUAUAGAAUUAUCUAAAACAAAUCAAUUAGUUUUUACAAUUUUUAUUGGAUUCGUUAUUUCUAAAAAGUCAAUAAUAAUAAUAAUAAAAUAUUAGAGGCUGAUGUUAUUUCUCUUCUGGGAAAUUCUGCUGAAAUGGUUGGAAGCGGGUAUCAGUCAUUUUGCAAAUUAGAAGAAAGUAAAGGCAAAAAAAUCUCUCACCCAGAAUAGAGAUCUAUAAUUGGAUGAUCACAUAAGUAGUCAAAUUUCUUCCUUAUGUCUACUAAAUUACAAAAAAAUUGAUUUGGGUUCUUUGCUUUACUGACCAUAAAUUGAUUGCGUCUUAUUAUUUUCAUCGAUUAACUUUGAAUCUGUAUUUUAUUCUUUUUCUCUUUUUCCUUCCUAUUUUCUUCCCCUUUCAUUUUCCUUCCAUUUCACUCAUCUUGUCUACUCACCUUUGUGUUCCUUUCUUUCUUAUAUUUGCAGCUGGAAAACUCCCAAAGCAUAAUAAUGUUUCCUGGAGGGGUAACUCGGGUAUGAAUGAUGGGAAGUCGGAGACCGGGAGUUUUUAUAAAGAUCUGGUGGGCGGCUACUAUGAUGCUGGAGAUGCAAUUAAGUUCAACUUCCCUAUGUCCUUUGCCAUGACCAUGUUGAGUUGGAGUGUGAUCGAAUACAGUGCAAAGUAUGAGGCUGCUGGGGAGCUCAACCAUGUCAAAGAGAUAAUCAAGUGGGGAACUGAUUACUUUCUCAAAACUUUCAAUUCUUCUGCUGAUACCAUAGACAGGAUGGUUGCACAGGUAAAUUUAUACCUGUGGUUUAGCCAAUUUAGUUAGCUACAUGAAGAUAGCUUGUUGUUUUUUGUUUCCUUUUAGUCUUCCAGGAUAUAUCCAUUUUUCAACAUUGUAAGUGUCUCAGUUUUGCUUUAGUCUAAUUAAUUUUUAACUUUGCUGCAACCAAAUGUCCCUUCUGUUUGUUGCUUGGAUUUUCCAAUUUUAAAAUAUUUAAGGACCAGACUGCAGUCAGUCUUGGCUAUUAUGAUACAUCAUGCUCCCUCCCUGUUGUGUAAUUUGUUGUCAAACUAUUGCUAAUGUUUUAGCUUUGGAUCUUCUGAAAAUGCUCAGUCAGUUAGAUUAUGCAAUUGUAUUCUGAUGUACACAGUUCCUCCUCUUUUUGACAGGUUGGAAUAGGAGAUACUUCCGGGGGGAGUACAACUCCCAAUGACCAUUAUUGUUGGAUGCGCCCUGAGGACAUUGAUUAUAAACGUCCUGUAACAGAAUGUGGUGGCUGCUCAGAUCUUGCUGCAGAGAUGGCUGCAGCGUUAGCUGCUGCAUCCAUUGUUUUCAAGGACAACAAGGCCUACUCACAGAAACUUGUCCAUGGUGCUAGAACUCUCUUUAAGUUUUCUAGGGAGCAGCGAGGCAGGUAUAGCAAUGGUGGUACAGAUGCUGCAAUUUUCUAUAAUUCAUCUAGUUACUGGGAUGAGUUUGUCUGGGGCGGAGCCUGGCUGUACUACGCCACUGGGAACAACUCCUAUCUUCAGCUUGCUACUACACCUGGUCUGGCCAAGCAUGCCGGUGCUUUCUGGGGAGGCCCAGAUUAUGGUAUACUUAGCUGGGACAACAAGCUUGCUGGUGCUCAAGUAAGUUAGUAGAGCUAGUUUUUAUUUUUUUAAGGACUUGGUCAGUUGUGCGAUUUAGUUGUUGUUUCCUGGCAAAUUAACUCAGUGUCAGUGUUUAUGUUGUACAAUUUUUCAGUUUAGUGGUUCAACCAUGUAAGGUCCUCUUGGCAUUCUAAAUCCUGGAUUGCCAUCAUUAGUCAACCCAAAAUUUUACCUAGUUCUUAACAUUGGCAUCAACUUAUUUGUUUAUUGCUUGUAUGAUAUCAUACUAAAGGUUGGGCAAAGUUGAGCCUAUACGAACAAACUGUCAGCAAGUUCUAGGACAUGGCUCUACCUUAAAUUGUCCAUUUUGGUAGUACAUAGCAGAUCCAGGACUUCAUUAUACUACUGGGCAUCCAUUUUAUGUGUUGGACCAUUUAUGAAAGGGAUUGUCUCUGGGUAAUUCACCUCUCAAAAUGAUGGCAUAACACAACUGUCAUGGCUGCCAAACUGGUCUUGUUUUCACUUAUAAUAUUUGAAGUGGAAAUCAUAGUUUUAAAUUGAGUAGCAAGUUUUGGCAGUUGAUUUGUUACUCUUUAUCUUUUAAUAGUUUCCAUUUAGAUAAAUUUGGCAAGAACUGAAGGUAUUAUUUAGUUUGGCAUUCCGUUUUUAUUUUGGAAGUCUUAACAUUUGCCUAAUGUUAAUGGUAUCAAAUUUCUCAGCUUGUUUCAAUGUGUGCUUCUUGAUAUUUGUCUCUGAAGUUGAUAUGUGGUUUGUUUCCAACAGUUCUCCUUUGAUGAUUGUAUUAGUCCAUGCAGCUUUGGGGCCAAACAUGAAUGCUUACCAAAUUGUUAGGCUUUCUCUAACACCUGUGAGCAGUGCUUACAAUGAUACCAACUUUAGUGAACUUUCCCCCUUUUUGAUUGGAUCUCCAUUUUCCGUUUUUAGUAUGUCAAAAUUUCGCUGAAGUUUUUCAUGUUUUUUUCCUUAUAUUUUCUUCUGCCUGCUGUCUUAUUUAUUUAUUUUCUUCUUAUGAUAGUCUCUUUCAUAUCUGCUGAUAUCUCAGCUUUAGGAUGGUCCAGUUGAUUUCUUUAUGAAAAGGUUUACAUCCAUAAAUGAAGUAGCUCCGAGACAUUCACAUUUGCAUGUUGAUCAAAUAAAAUUGGAAUUAUUGUUUGCAAGAGUCAAAAACUCAUGGCUGGUUCAUUGCUGAUAUGCUUUAUGUUUUUUUCUUAAUUAGGUGCUCCUAAGCCGUUUGAGAUUGUUCUUGAGCCCUGGGUAUCCAUAUGAAGAAAUUCUGAGGACAUUUCACAAUCAAACCAGCAUAAUUAUGUGCUCAUACCUACCGAUUUUCACAAGCUUUAACAGAACAAAAGGUACCCCAGCUAAUAUUUCGUCAACCUUACAGUUUGGUGGGGAUGGGUUGCCCAAGUUUAACACAAAAACUUAAUGUAAUGUUUUGGGUACCCCUUGCAGGAGGCUUGAUCCAAUUAAACCAUGGAAGGCCACAACCACUUCAAUACAUUGUCAAUGCUGCCUUCCUGGCUACCCUGUACAGUGAUUAUCUUGAAGCUGCUGACACCCCUGGAUGGUAUUGUGGACCUAAUUUCUAUUCAACUGAAGUCCUGCGUGAAUUUGCCAAGACCCAGGUAUGCGAUAUCUGAUUCCUCAAUUAAAGUUGUGAGGGAACAUGAGUCUGCUCAUGUAGUAAUAAAUAUUGUUGGAACCAACAAGGUCACUUAAAUUUUUCAUAUCUCUGACCUUCUGGCAGAUUGAUUACAUCCUCGGCAAAAAUCCUCGAAAGAUGAGCUAUAUUGCAGGUUUUGGCAAUCAUUAUCCAAGACAUGUCCACCAUAGAGGUGCAUCUAUCCCUAAGAACAAAAUCAAAUAUAAUUGUAAAGGAGGAUGGAAAUGGAGAGACUCUUCGAAGCCAAAUCCAAAUACACUCGUAGGGGCCAUGGUUGCUGGGCCAGACAAGCAUGAUGGUUUCCAUGAUGUCCGUACUAAUUACAACUACACAGAGCCUACGCUUGCAGGAAAUGCAGGUUUAGUAGCUGCACUUGUGGCUCUGUCAGGUGACAAGACAACUGGAAUUGACAAGAACACUAUAUUCUCUGCUGUUCCACCAAUGUUUCCCACUCCACCACCCCCUCCCGCACCUUGGAAACCAU